rnacentral:lncRNA from 1 species
GGAUUUCCGCCAUCUAUUCUUUCAGUCCGCCGAGGAAACGUUUUGGCUCGACGGCGGUUCGGAAUUUUUUUCGAUGGCGGUGUUUAGAUGGCGGAAAUCCGCCAUCUAAACUAUCCCGCCCAAAAUUUCGAAUCUCCCCCAAUUUCCAGCCCGAUUACCCGAUUAAAAUGACUUAAGAUGGCGGAAAUCCGCCAUCUUAAGUCAUCGGGGACUCGGGCGGAAAAAGCCCGCCCAAAUUUCGAUUGGGCGGACUUUCACUUAAGUGCUGGCGGCACUUAAGUGUACUUACAUGGCGGAUUUCCGCCAUGUAAGAUUUGGGGUUUAUUAAAAACCCCAAAUCCAGACAGAACGCGUUUGUUCUGUCUUGCUUUGGAGUGAAGUGCUGCCGCCGUUCUGUUCCCGUCGAUUCGUCCGUGCCGCCGUUCUGUUCCGACUCCGUCCGCCGUCGCCGACUCCGAUCUCGCCUCCGGUGGUGGCCGUUCUUGCUUUGGUCUGUCCGUUCUUCCUUUGGUCGGUCCCUUCUUGC